rnacentral:tRNA from 1 species
GUGAUUGCGGGUUGGUAGAAUAACGCUUUUGAUUGAGGUGGAGAUGCAGGUUCGAGUCCUGCCGAUCGCA